AUUAGAGGCAAGGAAACAAAUCAUUCAUUCUAGAAACAAACACCAACCACAGAUCAGGUAUUUGGGGGGAAACUGCAAAGGCACCAUCGGUGAAAAUACUAGGAAGUAAAAAUGUGUAGGCAAGAGUGGUGAUGGGAAAGAAAUACAGAGAAAGAAGAAAAAACAAUGACAGAUGAACAAAAUAUUUUUGUUUCAUCAACCAAACAUAUUUUGUUCUCUUGGGACUCCUGAUACCAUACCUCACCUUCUUCUAUUUCUUCUGAUAACCACGGCUCUUCAUAUUCUGCAAUUCACCAUCAGAAAGGGGCAUGCUCUUCUCAUUCAUAGCAUCUCUCAUCAGCCAGAGUUUAAAAUAUUCUCUGUCCUUGUUCAUCCCAUGGAAACUGAUCAGGU
rnacentral:lncRNA from 1 species